UAUUAAAUGGUCGAGACUGACUUUUAUUUUGUAACUCUCUGUUUUGUUUCCUGUUUGCAGGAGAUUCCGACCCCGACGCCGAUCAAAGAGCUGAUUGAUGAGCUGCCCGUCGUUCAGGGUCGCUAUCGUCCAAUCAGAGUGCUGAACAGACUGACCGUUGUGAUGUCAGAUUCCAGUCACUUUAGGCCUAACGCUGCAGAGUAUCGUUGUUUCGACCUCCUCUCCGUCCAGCCAACCACAGAGAAACUCUUCCAUGUGAGUAUUAGUUAUACUGCUGUACACGCUGCUGUACAUGCUGCUGUGUACACGUUGCUGUACACGUUGCUGUACAUGUUGCUGUACACGCUGCUGUGUACAUGCUGCUGUGUACACGCUGCUGUACAUGUUGCUGUAUAUUUAUGUGACAUCUCAGAUACUCAGGUACAUAAAGUACAACAUAUUGUUAUGACGAGCCAACCGUACUCACAGUAGCAACAACAUUCAAUUACUGCUGAUUAUACUGCAGUACUUUCACUAAAUCUAGCUUAAUAGAGUUUAAAUGGUUGAUCUACUUUUACUGAAGUUCAUACUGUGUGUGUGUGUGUGUGUGUGUG